UACAGAGGGGGCAAGCGUUGUUCGGAAUUACUGGGCGUAAAGGGCGCGUAGGCGGCCUGCUAAGUCGAACGUGAAAUCCCCGGGCUCAACCCGGGAACUGCGUCCGAUACUGGCAGGCUUGAAUCCGGGAGAGGGAUGCGGAAUUCCAGGUGUAGCGGUGAAAUGCGUAGAUAUCAAGAGGAACACCGGAGGUGAAGACGGGUUGCUGGGCUGACACUGACGCUGAGGCGCGAAAGCUAGGGUAGCAAACGGG
rnacentral:rRNA from 1 species